GGAUGGUGUUGAACUCCUUCACGAGAUCACAAUAGUGAAGCGCAAAUUUAUUCAAGUAACCAGGGGGAUGCAACUAGAUCACCAAAAACUCUUGAGCAAGAUCUGUUCUGUUCCAUGAUCAAGACAUGUAAACCAUGAGCAGUUGUGCGGCAAGAUGUCAAGGAGCACUGGAGCAGAGAAAUGGAAGAAUAUCUGGCAAGGAAUGCUGGUGGAAUGAGAAGGAAUCUGAAGGCAGACAAAACAAGAGAUCUUCUGGUGAAGGACUUUGUCUGCCCAGCAACAGAGUGCUUGAGGGGACAUCCAAUGCCCUUGUAUCCCAUCCGCUUGCAAAUCAAGUAUAUCUCAGUGAAAUGAAAAGUACAGCUGUUCGUAUUUGACAGCACCCAAUGUUUUCGCGGCUACGAAAAUAUAGACGCUCCCUUAAGCCGAGUGAGCAUCACGGUUUCCACACCCCGAGGGAGGAUAGGAGAUGGACAGGAGGGGGACACCGGUUUUCGACGUCAAAAGCUACGGGUUAUACGGAGUGUCAACACCGUGAAUAUAGGCUACAACAUUACAGGUCUUCUUCUUCACUGCCUCUGCAUUAAAACAGCUGUCACGGUUCAAACCUUUCCACCAGGACUCGUGUUUAACAUCGCGACUCUUCCUCCGCCGCUGAGCCGCUCUCCAGUGCUGAAACCCCGGGCGCAGCUGUCGCUCCGUCCCCUUAGGAAACUGUCCUAAUGAAGGAGGCCGACGCCAUCAAGCUCUUCAUUGGCCAGAUCCCGCGGAAUCUGGAAGAGAAAGACCUGAAGCCCAUCUUUGAGCAGUUUGGGAAGAUCUAUGAGCUUACGGUGAUCAAGGACAAGUACACGGGAAUGCACAAAGGAUGUGCGUUCUUGACGUACUGUGCGAGGGAGUCAGCCUUGAAGGCCCAGAAUGCACUGCACGAGCAGAAGACAUUGCCGGGGAUGAACCGCCCCAUUCAAGUGAAGCCAGCGGACAGUGAGGGCCGAGGAGACAGGAAGCUGUUUGUGGGGAUGUUGGGGAAACAGCUGUCAGAUACAGAUGUCAGAAAAAUGUUCGAGCCUUUCGGGAGUAUAGAGGAGUGCACAGUACUCAGAGGGCCUGACGGAGCCAGCAAAGGUUGCGCAUUUGUAAAAUAUCAGAGUAACGCAGAAGCACAGGCGGCCAUUAGCGCUCUACACGGCAGCCGCACUCUCCCGGGUGCAUCUUCUAGUCUGGUGGUAAAGUUUGCAGACACAGAGAAGGAGAGAGGAAUCAGGCGUAUGCAGCAGGUGGCCUCUCAGCUGGGUGUCAUUAGUCCCAUGAGCCUACACCUGGGCGCCUACAACGCCUACACACAGGCAACGCACAGUCAACUUGCUCUCGAGUGUUCACGGACCGGUGUUUUGACCGUUCCAAUGUGGCGGACGGCUAACGUAUGGCAGCCCAUAGAAACAGCCACUAAUGAGCUCGUCCAACAGCAGGCCUUGGUGGCUCAGUCCGCAUAUCUGUCUCCUGUGGCAACGGUUGCCGCGGUGCAGAUGCAGCAGUUGGCUGCUCUCAAUCCCAGCAGCAUCAUAGCCACACCCAUCGCCUCAAUCACACCCUCCUCAGGUACGAACACUCCUCCAGCCAUUGCCACACCUGUGCCUGCUCUGCCUCCAAUCGCAGUCAACAGUUACCCACAAGUCCCUGCACCACCCAAUGGCCAGUCUGCCUCUGAAACCCUCUACACCAAUGGUGUCCACCCAUAUCAGGCUCAGAGUCCUGCAUUGGAUCCUCUCCAGCAGGCAUAUACAGGCAUGCAACACUACACGGCUACAUAUCCUGCUGCUUAUGGAUUGGUCGGUCAACCAUUUCCACAUCAGCCCACCUUGGUUGCCCAGCAACCCCAGCAGCCGCAGCAGCUGCAACAACGAGAAGGACCAGAAGGCUGCAAUAUCUUUAUUUAUCAUCUGCCUCAGGAGUUCACGGACUCGGAGAUGCUGCAGAUGUUCCUGCCUUUCGGUAACGUCAUCUCAGCCAAGGUGUUCGUUGACCGCGCCACCAAUCAGAGCAAAUGCUUUGGUUUCGUAAGCUUCGACAACCCGGCGAGCGCUCAGGCUGCCAUCCAGUCCAUGAACGGCUUUCAGAUCGGCAUGAAGAGGCUUAAAGUUCAGCUCAAGAGGCCUAAAGAUGCCAACCGCCCAUACUGAGACGAACAGGCUGCCCCGUCCAAUCAUAACUCGUGCGGAGACCACGUCGCUAUGGCUACGGUGGCCUAGCAACCAAUAAAGCUCCCCCUUCCUCCCACAGCGUUGGUUUGGAAGAAAGGAGAGGACUAACGGAGUCACUUUUCCUCUGCUGCAAAUUACGGGACCAACAACUUUCGCAAAACUACAGUAUAAGACCUACCGAGAUUAUUUAAACAAAAAAAUAUACAUUUAAUAGUAAUAAAGACAGACUUAUCGCAGGAGAGGUGCAGGUUAAAUAGAAUGAUUUACUACCUUAACAGUAUACGAUAUAGGACCAAUCAGCAACGCAACGCCACUCGCUCUUCUGCUUCACAAGCUGUUGUGCCGUGUGCUUGUGGGUCGUGAUUUUUCUGCCCUCGACCCACACAUCUACGCAACACACACACACACAAAUGGGACCAACGCAAAUAUGUCAGUACUACACGAGUUUCACUUCUGGGUUCAAACGAACUACAGACUAUUAAAGUCUUUGUGCAGCAAUCUAAAAUAUGUAUAUAGAAAUUCCAGGGGACCAUGUGUAGACAUAUCAAAACAGUUGGGAGGGUGGGACUGGGUCAAUGCGAUCAGAGCAAAGAAUCAUGGGAGGUAUGGUAGCUAGAGAAGUUUUGGGAGUUUUGAAGGAUUUGCUCUUGGUCUCUAAUCUGAGUCCAGUUAUACAUAGUUCUUCAUCUUUAAUACUUACAGAAACGAAUUACCUGUGGUAUAGGAUGCUGGUCCUAUAUUGCAAUCCUCCCUAAAAGUACUGAAUAUAGUUUAUCACAGAGAGGCUGUAGUUAGAGUUUUUUUUAUUUUUAGUUUUGUUAGUUUUUCUUUCUUUUUAAGAAAAAAAAUUGUGGAUGAUUCGAGAAGAUUCAUGAACGUUAAAACAUUUAAAAAUGUAUUUCAUUGUAUAUAUCAUGCUUUUAAAAUGAAGGUCAAGAUUUAAACAUUUGGGAUAUUAUUAUUAUUAUUAUUAUUAUUUAGGGAAAGUGAUUUCUAUCUUUUUUUGCAAUUAAUUUAUCAAUUUCUUGGAGGGCAUUUUUUAAAUUAUUUAUGAAGAUAGAGGAUCAUUGGCACAUGUCCCGAUGAAUCCAUGUAUUUUUAGACAUUUUAUUUACAGAUUUACCAUUAAUGAACAAUCAUUAUUAUUAUUAUUAUUAUUAUUAUUAUUCUAUUUAUUUUCUUCAACUGUUGUUUCACAACCUGUCGAUUACAAAAAAAAAAUUUGAAUAAAAUUUUAAACAAUA